GUGGAGAUAUUAAUUGGGGAGCCGAUUGCCACCUGUCUUUCUCCUUCAGUGUAUGACAUGAUCUGUAAACUUGGGUUUGAAGUCAGAGAAAAUUGCGACAUCAGUAGUAUUGUAACUCAAAACGGUGAAGUAUGCUGGAAGAAAAUUACAGACUGCAUGGUUUAUACAGAAUCAGCCCAGGGUCUGGACCACCGGGAAAGCGUGCGGCUGCUGGGCCCCGUGUGCCAGGCCGUCCACCUGUAUCUGUCGUCUCUGCCCAAGGGGGAGUUUGAAGUUCAGUACGCACCAGCGCUCCAGUGGACAGGUGUUCCAGAGUUAUUUCCUGAAAUACUUGACGCCUUGAGAAGUCUUGAAUCUCCCAGUAUUUCUCUCAGCCUCAUGAAGCUCACGUCCUGUCUGGAGCGAGCCCUGGGUGACGUAUAUUUACUGAUUGGGAAGGACUGCCCCUUUCUUUUAAGAGACCUGCUCGCAUCUGAGGAACUUGCUCAAGUCUUCGGGCAGCCUGUGAUGGACGUGCUCAAGGUCUUCGUGGGCUCCCCGCGUGGGCUCAACCUCCGCAACGUCCUGUGGCACGGCUUCGCGGCCCCUCGGGAGGUUCCGCCCAAAUACUGCUCGAUGAUGCUGCUGCUGACAGCAGGCUUGGGCCAGCUGCUGAAGGGCUUCCUUCAACAGGCGAACCUCACGUUGGCGCAUCGGCCUUUCGUGACCCUCGCGAGCGUAGAGGAUCUGAUUGUCUUUCCUGAUGUCCCUUCGGAGGUGCUUUCCGUAUUAGAAGAAGUGAUGAAGAAGUCCACUUUUAUACUGAAAAUCAUGUUGCCGUAUUGGGAAGUUGCAUUAACCAAGUUAAAGUCUCACAGGUUUGCUGACUGUGCCAUUUUACUGUUGGUGCAGCUGGAGACUGGACUCAGGAAGGCGUUUGCUGAAGUUAACGAGUGUCCAAAGAGGCUUCUCACUGCUGAGUCAACAGCUCUUUAUACUACCUUCGAUAUAUUGGCAAAACACUUGAAUGAUGGUAAAAUCAACCAACUUCCUCUUUUCCUGGGAGAACCUGCAAUGGAAUUUCUCUGGGAUUUCCUAAACCAUCAGGAGGGUCCCCGUCUAAGAGAUCGGCUAAGCCACGGGGAAGUCAGUUUACCUGAAUUUCCGAAAGAAGCAGCCGGUCAGCUGCUUGCGUUUUCCUUUGUCCUUUUACUCAGGUUUAUUGAUGGAGAUCUGUUAGCAGCGUGUAAGGAAAAGGCAGCGGUGAGGUCACUGAUUAACCUUGCAGCAACCUACGUUUCUCGCUGCCACCCAGCUUCUCAGCUUAAAAAACAGGUGCUGAGCUGUGAGGGGAGCAUCGGAGCUUGGCCUCUGUUGCCUUUGCCCGAAGAACAGAAAGGGAGCCUACCAGAAGGUGAUUCUGAGACAGAUGCCUGCAGCUCUUUAAUCACAGAGAUCGUGGCCGAGCUGUGUUGCCGUGCGCCUGAGACACACCGCGCUGCCCACCUCUCAGGGCCCCUUCCUCCUGAGCAGUGGCCGCGGCUGCUCCAUGCGCUCUGCAGCACCCCCGUGCGGACCCUCUUCUGCCCCCGAGCUGUCCUGGAGGUGCUGGCGGUGCUCCGGAGGGUCACCGCCCACUGCCGCCUCGUUGGUGUCCAGGUAGCUGCGUGCGUGGAGCUGAGGCGCCGGCAGUGGGAGGACCGAAGCCUGCGCUCGCGGCAGAGGCGGAAUUACCUGCGUCUGGCGCGCAGUAUAAAGCUUCUGUCUCCGAUGCUUUACCUGAUUUUAUUGCUGAUUGCACUGGAAUUGAUCAACAUUCACAUGGUUCUUGGGAAGAAUGCUUCAGAAUACCAGCAGUACCUGAGGUUCUUGAAGUGUGUCUUGCAGUACGCAGAGAACGUGGCAGCCUGCACCAGGCAAGACAGAAACAAGUGGGACGAUGCUGUCCGCCUCACACACGCAGCCUUGCUGAAGAUUUGGACUUUUAUUGAGAAGAAGCAGAUGUUAAUGCAUUUAGCCGAGAAAUCCACGAGUAAAGUCGUCCGAUAAGUCAGGAUGCCUCAGGCUCUAUCAGAAACCCGACUGACCGCGUGGACUUCAUAGCUUGUGAAUUGAAGACCCACGGGCAGGGUGUGUUUCCGAGGGCAGGUGGUUUCGGGACUCUGCUCCAGCGGGCCCCAGGCUUCCUGCCCUGCAGUUCUCCGGUCGCUUUCCAGCUGCUGGUGUGAGCUGCAGGUGGAUCCCUGGGAAGCAGUGGCCGCAGCAGUUUGGGGCCUCGUCUCCCAAGCUGCGUCCUGUGCAGAGGGGAGUCUUCUCAGUCAGCCGUCACCGAGGCGUGGGUGGCUGCAUCUUACUGGCCAUAGUGCUAAUCUUGCAGCGACGGCUGUGACCAGGACCCUGCCCUGUGCCCACGGGUCAGGCUGGGUGGACGUCCACCCCUGGACCAGCCACCCUGUCCUUGGAGCAGAGGGUGAAGUGGAUGGGACGUGGAGCUCGCUGCAGAGAGGUGGGGCAGAACAGCUCCUGGAGGGCCCUGGACAGCAAGCCUGCCGGUCAGCGUGUCCCCGGGGGUCCAGUCUGGUUUAGUGCAGGCCCUGGGAGGACAGAGUGAGACGGGCCGCAGACCCCCCAGCUCAGGCUCGCGGGAGGCCCUGCACAGCCACUCCGGGAAGCUCCUCGUCCGCAGCAGCAAGGCCGGAGGGUCUCCAGGAGCCCCUGCAGGGCUGCCCUGAACCCCGAGUCUGUAUCCACUCAGCUGUGCCCCUCCCCCACUGGCCGCACAGCCUCCUCCUGGCCCUGCUGGCGGGUCGGCCUCCCAGGAAGGGCGUCCUGCCACGCGCUCUGGCUUCUCUGCCAUCAGAGGCCGGCAGGGAGGCCACCGUGCGGCGGGUGGGGCCACGUGACCACAGACUUUCCUGGUCCCGCCGUCGCUUCUCCAGCUCAGCGGCGGCCACCCCCUUGUAACUGAACUUGUGGGUAAAGACGGGGACGCCUCCCGCUUCUGUCUACUGUGAUGCAAUACCCCUCACGUCAUUGCCCCCGCUCAGAG
rnacentral:lncRNA from 1 species